rnacentral:lncRNA from 1 species
CUGGCUUAGGACCCCCAUCGCGGAUCCUAAGAUCCUUAGGACCCAACUGGAGGACUGUGGGUAUUAGGUGCCCAAGAAGAAAGCUCAGAUCUGCCGACGUUACUUGGGAUUUACUAUCCGACAGGUGUCCGAACACAGCUCGAGAUCAGAAAGAAAGCAGGGGUCCGAACGCAGCCCGGGAUCAGGAAGAAAGCAGGUCGUUUGCAAUCUACCGGAGCCUAAGGGCAGAAGGCAGGAUCGUGGGAACAAUAUCCCAGGGGGGUUUCCACUUUCUGCCAUAUAUGUAGUCACAUCGCCCACUCCGCCUUGGAAUAUUAUUAAGGACCAUCUAACACGAGGGUGUAUACGUCCUGCGAUAUUACGAGUAAUAUCAACUUCUUGGCCUCUGAAUAUGAGGAAGAAUAUCACAGGGGGUCCGAAUGCAGCCCGGGAUCACAAAGAAAGCAGGUCGUUUGCAAUCUACCAGAGCCUAAGGGCAGAAGGCAGGAUAUUAAUAACAAUUUCACAGGCUGGGUGAACACAGCCGGCGAUGCUGAAAUUAUUAUCAUCCUCUCCCCCUCUUCCCCUCCUGGCUCUCAGUCCCCGCCUCACGGGUUAUGUAGCGGGUUAUGGCAAGAAGACAAACUGCAGUUUCCUGCACAGAACAGCACAAACAAUGAUCCAAGCUCAGUUACAACACAAUAUUGGUCAUCAUUUGACCAUGGACUUCAAUAUCAACCCUUAGAAACCUUCCUAAAACAGGUCAGCAAAACACCAAGAAGCAAUAUCCUGAAUGAUAGGAAAAUAUCCUUGCUUGUGCAAAUUGUUUCCACUUAAUUUUUUUCAACAAAUGUUAAUUAUAUUUUUACUUUCUAAAAAUUUUUAAUAAAAUAUAGCCUACUUGGUUAAAAAUG